rnacentral:lncRNA from 1 species
GAGGCAUCAAUUCUGUGGAAAAUUAUAGUCUGAUAAUCCCUCUUCCUCAAUCAUAUAUCAUUGUACAUGCAAACAAUUACCUAGGCUUGUAAUAUCAAGGAAAACAAGGGGGUAAACAGUGUCCACAAUAUUCUCACGAACGCACCAACUAUUGAAAAAGACAUGCACAAAUUUUUCUCUUGUUUCCUCAUAUUUUCCUCUUCCUCCACGAAAGAAAAUUCAACAGACCCCACAACUUUUCUAGUAUUCCUCAAGUUAAAUACCUGAUCUCAACCUCAUAAUCCAAACUUCAGAAACAUUUUUCAAAAGCCAUAACCUUAUAUCCCUCUUAGCUAUGGUUCCAGCUCCCCAAAGUGAUUUGCCUCUUAAUGAGAAUGACUCACAAGAGAUGGUACUAUAUGAAGUCCUCAAUGAAGCUAGUGCCCUUACCAUCCCAUAUUUACCCCAAAGAAACCAGCUUAUUCCCAAAAAUGUCCUUCGUCCAUCACAGACCAUAGGAAAGAAGUACAGAGGCGUAAGACGGAGACCAUGGGGAAAAUACGCUGCUGAAAUUCGUGAUUCGGCUAAACAUGGUGCUAGAGUAUGGCUAGGCACUUUUGAAACAGCCGAAGAAGCUGCCAUAGCUUAUGAUAGAGCAGCCUUUAGAAUGCGUGGUGCUAAGGCACUCCUCAAUUUUCCGUCUGAAGUUGUCACAGCCUCUGCUUCAGUAGAUAGAUUACUACUACGUCCCCCAAGUUUGAGCUCAGAUAGUUACACUAAUUCCAACAAUUCAAAUUCUAGUUCAAAUGAAGUUUCAAGUGGGUUGAUUA